GGGACACGUGGUAUCCUGUCUGAAUAUGGGGGGACCAUCCUCCAAGGCUAAAUACUCCUGACUGACCGAUAGUGAACCAGUACCGUGAGGGAAAGGCGAAAAGAACCCCGGCGAGGGGAGUGAAAAAGAACCUGAAACCGUGUACGUACAAGCAGUGGGAGCACGCUUAGGCGUGUGACUGCGUACCUUUUGUAUAAUGGGUCAGCGACUUAUAUUCUGUAGCAAGGUUAACCGAAUAGGGGAGCCGAAGGGAAACCGAGUCUUAACUGGGCGUUAAGUUGCAGGGUAUAGACCCGAAACCCGGUGAUCUAGCCAUGGGCAGGUUGAAGGUUGGGUAACACUAACUGGAGGACCGAACCGACUAAUGUUGAAAAAUUAGCGGAUGACUUGUGGCUGGGGGUGAAAGGCCAAUCAAACCGGGAGAUAGCUGGUUCUCCCCGAAAGCUAUUUAGGUAGCGCCUCGUGAAUUCAUCUCCGGGGGUAGAGCACUGUUUCGGCAAGGGGGUCAUCCCGACUUACCAACCCGAUGCAAACUGCGAAUACCGGAGAAUGUUAUCACGGGAGACACACGGCGGGUGCUAACGUCCGUCGUGAAGAGGGAAACAACCCAGACCGCCAGCUAAGGUCCCAAAGUCAUGGUUAAGUGGGAAACGAUGUGGGAAGGCCCAGACAGCCAGGAUGUUGGCUUAGAAGCAGCCAUCAUUUAAAGAAAGCGUAAUAGCUCACUGGUCGAGUCGGCCUGCGCGGAAGAUGUAACGGGGCUAAACCAUGCACCGAAGCUGCGGCAGCGACGCUGAUGCGUUGUUGGGUAGGGGAGCGUUCUGUAAGCCUGCGAAGGUGUGCUG
rnacentral:rRNA from 1 species